rnacentral:rRNA from 1 species
AUUGAACGCUGGCGGCAUGCUUUACACAUGCAAGUCGGACGGCAGCACAGGGGAUUGUACUUCGUGGGUGGCGGCGAACGAGCGGGUGAUUAAUAUGUCCGUACGCACCGAGUAGUGGGGGAUAGCUGAUAGCCGGAUUAACUACUCCCACAUUCUCUCGGAGGAGGAGAGGAGGCGACCUUCCGGCCUUGCGUGAUUCGAGCGGUCGAUAUCUGAUUAGCUAGUUGGUGGGGUAAAGGCCUACCAAGGCGACGAUCAGUAGCUGGUCUGAAAGGAUGAUCAGCCACACUGGGACUGAGACACGGCCCAGACUCCUACGGGAGGCAGCAGUGGGGAAUUUUGGACAGUGGGCGCAAGCCUGAUCCAGCAAUGCCGCGUGUGUGAAGAAGGCCUUCGGGUUGUAAAGGACUUUUGUCAGGAAAGAAAAGCUUGGUGCUAAUACCGACAGCUGAUGACGGUACCGGAAGAAUAAGCACCGGCUAACUACGUG